rnacentral:rRNA from 1 species
UCAACCUGGGAACUGCAUUCGAAACUGGCAGGCUUGAGUCUUGUAGAGGGGGGUAGAAUUCCAGGUGUAGCGGUGAAAUGCGUAGAGAUCUGGAGGAAUACCGGUGGCGAAGGCGGCCCCCUGGACAAAGACUGACGCUCAGGUGCGAAAGCGUGGGGAGCAAACAGGAUUAGAUACCCUGGUAGUCCACGCCGUAAACGAUGUCUACUUGGAGGUUGUGCCCUUGAGGCGUGGCUUCCGGAGCUAACGCGUUAAGUAGACCGCCUGGGGAGUACGGCCGCAAGGUUAAAACUCAAAUGAAUUGACGGGGGCCCGCACAAGCGGUGGAGCAUGUGGUUUAAUUCGAUGCAACGCGAAGAACCUUACCUGGUCUUGACAUCCACAGAACUUUCCAGAGAUGGAUUGGUGCCUUCGGGAACUGUGAGACAGGUGCUGCAUGGCUGUCGUCAGCUCGUGUUGUGAAAUGUUGGGUUAAGUCCCGCAACGAGCGCAAC